AGCAGGCAGAUUCAUUUUCUCGCCACCGAAUACAUUAGCAUGGGAUAAUGGAAUAGGACCCUGUCCUCCUAUUUUCAGUUGGUUUUGGCAGCGCGAGGACUAGGGUAAUGAUUAAUAGGGAUAGUUGGGGGCAUUAAUAUUUAAUUGUCAGAGGUGAAAUUCUUGGAUUUAUGAAAGAUUAACUUCUGCGAAAGCAUCUGCCAAGGAUGUUUUCAUUAAUCAAGAACGAAAGUUAGGGGAUCGAAGACGAUCAGAUACCGUCGUAGUCUUAACCAUAAACGAUGCCGACCAGCGAUUAGGAGACGUUGAAUACAAAACACCACCAUCGGCGCGGUCGCCCUUGGCGUUCGUGUUCACGCACGGGCGCGAGGGCGGCUUAGCCCGAUGGCACCGGUGAAUGACUCCCCUAGCAGCUU
rnacentral:rRNA from 1 species